GUGGGGAAUCUUAGACAAUGGGCGCAAGCCUGAUCUAGCCAUGCCGCGUGAUCGAUGAAGGCCUUAGGGUUGUAAAGAUCUUUCAGUGGGGAAGAUAAUGACUGUACCCACAGAAGAAGCCCCGGCUAACUCCGUGCCAGCAGCCGCGGUAAUACGGAGGGGGCUAGCGUUGUUCGGAAUUACUGGGCGUAAAGCGCACGUAGGCGGAACAGAAAGUCAGAGGUGAAAUCCCAGGGCUCAACCUUGGAACUGCCGCCAAAACUGCAUGACUAGAGUAAGGUAGAGGGUAGUGGAAUUCCGAGUGUAGAGGUGAAAUUCGUAGAUAUUCGGAGGAACACCAGUGGCGAAGGCGGCUCACUGGCUCGAUACUGACGCUGAGGUGCGAAAGCGUGGGGAGCAAACAGGAUUAGAUACCCGUGUAGUCC
rnacentral:rRNA from 1 species